rnacentral:misc_RNA from 1 species
CUACUAUUUCUUCUUCUUCUGCUUGUUCUAUUGAUUCGCUGUGUUCAAACUCUCCGUUAGCUCCAAUCAAGUUAAACCUAAAUUCUGCAUUUCCGAAUCUNNNNNNNGACAACGCUUAGAUCCAAGCGAUGAUGUUGGGGGUUUUAAGAAGAAGAGUUGCCAGUGGAGGCUCCGCUUCUUUUUCCUUUCUGAGUAUUCGACCCGCGGCCUCUUCUCUAGAGUUUCCUCUCUUCCUGAGAAGGAGAUUUUGCUCUAUCCAAGAGGUUUUGGGCAUGUCCGCAACUUCAGCCACUUCAUUUCACCAGGUUGUUCUGUUAGUUCAGGGCCCAGGAGGGAUUUUGCCAGUUUUGAGCUUAUGGCUCCCAAGGAAAUGUGGAGCAGGCCAUUUUCUUCAGAUAGUGGGGAUGCGGUUGAUGUUGUUGUCCCUUUU